CAGGAGCGAAUCUGGAGCUCAUGAGGCUGACUCUUCUAAAAUGCAGCCACAGGUAGUCAUCGAAUCCGGCUUCCUAUGCUGUGCAAUCAACAAAUCAAAAUAACUUGUGUCAUCAUUAGAAUGUCAGAUGUGCUUCUACGAACUAAGCUGACUCUUUUAAUUCUUUGGCAAAGGGUUGGCAAACUAGGACUGUUUGCCAAAUUCAGCCUGCCUCCUAUUUUUAGAGUCUUCCUGAAACACAGCUACACCCGUAUUAUCCAUGGCUGCUUUCCUGUCACAGUGAGUAAGUAGCUGGGACUGAGAAGGCAUGGCCUCCAAAGUCUAAAAUAUUUACUCUCUAGCACUUUGUAGAAAAACCUUAGCUAGGCACAGUGGCUAACGCCUGUAAUCCCAGCAUUUUGGGAGGCCAAGGCAGGCAGAUCACCUGAGGUCAGGAGUUCCAGACCAGCCUGGCCAACAUGGUGAAAUCCCAUCUCUACAAAAAUAAAACAGUUAGCUGGGCAUGAUGGCGGGUGCCUGUAAUCCCAGCUACUCGGGAGGCUGAGGCAGGAUAGUCGCUUGAACCCAGGAGGUGGAGGUUGCAAUGAGCCAAGAUCAUGCCACUGCACUCCAGCCUGGACGACAGAGUGAGACUCCAUCACAAGAAAAAAAGAACUUUGUCAACCUCUGUCUUAGGGCGCCUUGUCACAGGCUUCGGGUCAGACGGAUUCAACCUUGCAUCAGCCAUUUGUUAGCCAGGUCACUCUGUUCUUUGUCUGUAAAUGAGAUUGAUCGUUGUUCCCACUGAGAGUGUCAGCUCCUUCCCGUAGAGCAGGCAUGAUGAUUGUACUCACCUCUGACACCAUUGUGAGUGCCACAUUCCUUCCCACGUCCUUGUCACUGUAAGAGAUGCCCACCUGAGCACCAACCCCAGGUUAUCUUCCCCUUUGUCUUCCAGCCCCCCAGAAACAGCUACGACUCAACCUACCCAAUCAUUUCAUCAUCAGAUUGCCACUGUCUCUAGUUCAGGUCUCUUGGGACUGGCACUCAGAAAUCUCAUAAUAAAUCCUCUUGAGGCUUCUCAUACACUCGUCUUCUUCCAAUCUUCUUUCCCUCAAAAUCUCAUAUUUUGGUUCCACUUCACCCACCGUCAUUCUCCAUAUCACUCCCAGGAGUUAGGCAAAAAGCCCCUUCCGUUCUUCCGUAUGUUAAACUUAGAAUCACUCUGUUCCCUGCUCUGCGUUUCUAUUUUUUGUUUUUCCUCCAUUUACUAGUAGCUUAACACUUUCUAACAGUGUUCUUAUUAUUGAUACGUAUCUAUCUCUUCCAUAAGCUUAUAAGGUCACGGAUAAUACUUCUCAUUGUAGUACGUAAAUGACGUGGGCUAGAUAUGAGUUGAAUAAACAGUUAUACCUGUAAAUUCUUACAGAGUGAAAAUAAAUUGUUAUACUUUACAAUUUGUUUCUCUCUUUAGACCAUUUCCAGGACUUGUGAUUAAUAACCAGCUGGUUGAUCAGAGUGAGUCAGAAGGCCCCGUGAUACAAGAAUCAGCUGAACCAAGCCAGUUGGAAGUUCCAGCCACAGAAGAAAUAAAAGAGACUGAUGGAAGCUCUCAGAUCAAGCAAGAACCAGACCCCACGUGGUAGACCUCUUCCCUCCUAGGCUUAAAGUAUCAGUGGUUGAGAAGAGCUUUUCGGACCUGUUACUACCCCAAGCUGUGUAAUAUACUUGUAUAACAGAAAUACCUUCUAUACAAACCUUUUUUUCUACUUUUAGAUAGAAAUGUCUACUUUUUCAGCAGUUCUGUGAAUUAAAGAGCAGAGUGACUGUGGGUCUGGAAUGGCUGGUGUACUUGGGAAUGUACUAUCAGGAUUUUACAGCAAUGCUGGGAAAUGACAGGGAAAAUGACAGGAAUGAAUCUCACCAGAUUUUUUAUGUACUCAGCAGAGCCUUGAGUUACGGUGUUUAUUUUCCAAUCAAGUGAAGAUAUCUCCUACUUCUCCUACUGGAACAUCUCAGCUUCUGCAGUGAAGAAAAAUUCCUGUGAUAGUUCAGUUCUUUAGUUUUUCUAUUUGAAAAAAAAAAAUCAUUUAAAUGAUCCUUUGUUCACGGCUCUCCUUAAUGACUGAGUGAACAGUUCCUAUCUGUAUAUUUGACUAAACCUUUUCCUAAGCUAUCUCUCAUGGUUCCUAUGUUUUUUUAUCAUAAUUAAAAGCAAAACCAUCUGGAUCACCUAACAGUCAGAGGUCAGUAUCUCAGCGUGUGAAUUAUAGAGGAAAUACAGAGAGAACCUCUUCCACUUUUACUUUUCGUCCAAAUAAAAUGCAUGGUGUACCAGAAGUUGAAGAUCGGGUUGAGGAUUGGGGCUAGCUCGAUGACACUAAGGCCCCAACAUCGCGGGACCUGCUGUGGCGCGGAUUCUUAGGAACGCUGUUCUAGCCGGCCCCCUCUCCAGGGGUCGCCGUGGCCGGCAUUAUUUCCUAGUUCUUCUUGUAACCCUGAGGUGCCAGCGCGGGGAGUGAGGAGGGGUCAGGGGGCUAAGGAUGCAACCUCUGACGUUCUGCGCCUUCCUAGGAGAGUCUUACAUGUGUUGAGAUUUCACAAGCAAUGCGAGUUGUAAAAUACCAGCUCUACAAGAAGCUAGGCUCUGUGACGGCAUAGUUUUCAGUAGCUUUAUCACAAUAUUCACAAUGGAGAAUUAUAUGACAUGGUAGCAGAAAUAGGCCCUUUUAUGUGUUGCUUCUAUUUUACCUCAAAUUGUAGAUAUAGGGUAAUCAAUAAAAUCCAUCCAUGCCUUUCACACACU
rnacentral:lncRNA from 1 species